GUUACGUUCCACAUUAGAUGUUACGCCACUGUAGUUUUCCUCUUCAAAAGAAACCUCAACCGGUAGGAUGCGCUCGAUAUAUCAAGAAUUUCCACUCCUGAGUGGCCUGAUGGUUCUUCGAUUCUUUUCUCGCUGUAGUACUAUUGAAUGCACUGUAUGAGCAUUUUUCUGUUGUCUAUAUCAACGUUUCAUUUACUGAAUCAAUAUUUUAUUUCGCCAUUUCUUAUAUCAAGGUGAUAAACAUUUGAUUUAUUUUUCGCGAUCAAAAACCGGAUGACCGGUUUUUGGUAAUAGCUGAAAAUUUUGGACUUCACUUUUUGGAAACAUCUGAGAAUUUCGGAGCACUACUUUUUGGAAACACUUCAAAAUUGUGACAAGCACAGUUUUUGCUAUCCUUAAAUACUGACAUCGAUGUCUACUCAACACCUCAUUUUGGAAAUCAAGAAUUUUGGUACAAUUUUAAAAUGGGGACAACGGAACCAGGUGGAAGAGUUCAUCCUAAAGGGGCAAUCACUGAACUGAAGUUAAGUUUUGAAAAAAAAAGUGACGACGAGAGUAUUUUAUAGUAUUCGGAAUUUGUAUUAUCAAGGUUCCAUUAUAAUUGUAAUUUUU